AUUGUAACUCAGGUUCCCGUAAGAUCACCGCAGUUAAGCAACUUCGACUUGAUCAGUACCUAGAUGGGUGACCGCUUGGGAAUGCCAGGUGCUGUAAG